ACAUCCAAAGUAAGAGGAUUAUUAAUUGCAGAAUAUUUCAACAACUUUCUACCUCCAAAAUGACUAAGACUAAACAUCUUAUGAAGGUUCAAGAUAAAAAUUUAAUAUGAAGUGAGAAAAAAUAUACUCUUGACAGGUUUUUUACACUAAUGACGUAAAAAUGUAUACAUAUCGUUGAUCCGUUCUGUUAUAUGUACAUAUGUAUUGAAUGUGAAAUAUUGUGGUUCGAGAGCGUUCGUAACACUUUUUGAGGAUCGAUAGACAAGCUCUUGAAAAGUAAAAGAUGUUAGUACAAAUAUUAAAUGCUAAAGAUAUUAUAUACUUUUUCAAUAUAUUUCAUAUAGACUAAUGGUAA